GCCUGGCUGGCUCAGUCAGCAGAGUGUGCAACUCUUGAUCUCAGGGUCAUGAGUUCAAACCCCAUGUUGGGCG
rnacentral:tRNA from 1 species